rnacentral:rRNA from 1 species
AUUGAACGCUGGCGGCAGGCCUAACACAUGCAAGUCGAGCGGAUGAAGGGAGCUUGCUCCUGGAUUCAGCGGCGGACGGGUGAGUAAUGCCUAGGAAUCUGCCUGGUCGUGGGGGAUAACGUCCGGAAACGGGCGCUAAUACCGCAUCCGUCCUGAGGGAGAAAGUGGGGGAUCUUCGGACCUCACGCUAUCAGAUGAGCCUAGGGCGGAUUAGCUAGUUGGUGGGGUAAGGGCCUACCAAGGCGACGAUCCGUAACUGGUUUGAGAGGAUGAUCAGUCACACUGGAACUGAGACACGGUCCAGACUCCUACGGGAGGCAGCAGUGGGGAAUAUUGGACAAUGGGCGAAAGCCUGAUCCAGCCAUGCCGCGUGUGUGAAGAAGGGCUUCGGAUUGUAAAGCACUUUAAGUUGGGAGGAAGGGCAGUAAGUUAAUACCUUGCUGUUUUGACGUUACCAACAGAAUAAGCACCGGCUAACUUCGUG